rnacentral:sRNA from 1 species
UUUAUAUGAAAACCAUAUAAUUUUGAUCAUUAAGAUUAUGGUUAUUAAUUCCAACGAGAUAUUGUAUUUGAUUGAAAAUCAUCUCAUGAAGAAGAUGUUUCCAAGGGGGAGAUUGAAUGAUAUGCGUGGAUGUACCCUUUUUCCUUAUCAUAGUUUUUAUCCCACAUGAUUUUUCUAUGACAAGGUUUUUAACGAGACAUUAAAGAACACGCAAAUAAUACACUUGAUGAAUAUUAAAAAAUUCUAUCAAUCAUCCAAAUGAAUAUUAUACACUAAUGAUAUUUAGAGAAAUAAAUAAGAUGGUCAAGAUGAAUCAUCUAAAAGAUUCAUGAGCAGAAGAAUGGCGUUGUACUUUAUCCAGAAAUUUGUUCAAGAGAAGAUUUGGCAGACUUAUUCUCAAAUACUGUUUAUUCUCUGCCACAUCUUCUAAUCAUGCAGAGAUUUUACCAAUUCAUGAAGCUAGCCGCAAGUGUGUAUGGCUAAGAUCCAUAGUUCACCAUAUACAAGAAGACUGUGGUAUAUAUGCAGGGAAAAAGACUCCAACAAUUAUGUACGAAGACAAUGCAGCAUGCAUCGCACAACUCAAAGACGGAUACAUCAAAGGCGAUAGAACAAAGCACAUCCUACCAAAAUUCUUCUACACACACGAUCUACAAAAGAGCGGCGAUGUACGAGUUCUACAGAUCCGUUCGAAUGAUAAUCUGGCUGACUUAUUCACCAAGGCGCUACCUACUGCUACUUUCAAGAAGUUAGUCUAUCGUAUCGGAUUACGCCGUCUCAAAGAUCUCGACGAAUAUACUCAUAAGGGGGAGUAAUUGUAUGUUGCACUCUUUUUCCCUUAACCAUGGUUUUUCCCAUUGGGUUUUCUUGGUAAGGUUUUUAAUGAGGCAGCAUUUCAAAUACUUUACGAGUUAUGAUACUAUAAUGGUCAUCAGGGAGAGUGUUAUGAAUAAAGAUGGAUGCCCAUUAUAAGGCCCAUCAUCUAAGCCCAUCAUCUAGAUGUUUCUAGGGUUUUACCCUUUCCUUGUACUCCUAUAUAAAGAACCCUUUAUCUCAAUGGAAUAACACACUCAUUUCUUCUAUCUCUUUCUCUGUUUAUAACAUUUCUCAAUUUAUGUGUAAUUUAUCACAAACUUAUUUUGAUUAAUUCACAAUAAUCU